rnacentral:rRNA from 1 species
CCUACGGGAGGCAGCAGUGAGGAAUCUUGGUCAAUGGGCGCGAGCCUGAACCAGCCAAGUAGCGUGAAGGAUGACUGCCCUACGGGUUGUAAACUUCUUUUAUAAAGGAAUAAAGUGAGGCACGUGUGCCUGUUUGUAUGUACUUUAUGAAUAAGGAUCGGCUAACUCCGUGCAAGCAGCCGAGGUAAUACGGAGGGUCCGAGCGUUAUCCGGAUUUAUUGGGUUUAAAGGGAGCGUAGAUGGGUUGGUAAGUCCAUUGUGAAAGUUGGCGGCUCAACCGUAAAAUUGCAAUUGAUACUGGCAGUCUUGAGUACAGUUGAGGUAGGCGGAAUUCGUGGUGUAGCGGUGAAAUGCUUAGAGAUCACGAAGAACUCCGAUUGCGAAGGCAGCUUACUAAACUGCCACUGACAUUGAUGCACGAAAGUGUGGGUAUCAAACAGGAUUAGAUACCCUUGUAGUC